GGCCGGAGCGUGGCGACGGUUUCUCCCGAGCAGGCGUGCCCACCUCUCCCCUGAAAAAGUGGAAAAAUCUUGCGGUUCCAGUGGACUCGGGGUCCCGUUGGCGAGCGGCUUCUGCUGGAUUUGCGGCGGCGAGUGGUUUCUGCUGGAAUUGUAGCGAGGCCAGGCGGCGGUGGCGGCGGCUGUGCUGCGGCGUUUGACGACGGAAGGGGCGAGGAGCAGCCUACCCCGAGCUCGCUUCUUAUUUUGACGGCGCGGCCGUCCACGGAGGAGCAGCCCCGAUAUCAACCGGCGGCAGCGCCCGCCUCUCUCUCUCUCUCUCUCUCUCUCAGGCCAAUAGCUUACAGGAGGUUCUCUUUCCUCCGGCGAAGAAGCUCCUCCCGGCGUUUAGCGAACUUGCCUCUCCAUCCACUUCAACCUGGUCGGCGGCGGCUCCGCACGGCUCGACCGUCCAGGGCUAUGGGGGACCCUCCCGCACAGGCAGCACGAUCCCUGACCUCCCCGGUCCGCAGCCCUGCCGCCGAUUAAGCAACCGGUCCUCAUCCGCCCCUCACCGCGUGUUCGACGAGCCGCACGACGGCCUGCCCUCAUCUACUGUCACAGUGAGAAACACCUGUACACGUAUGAUGAUAACCUGUUCGACAGAAUGCCUGUGAGAGUGAUGUGUUUCUCAAUCAAGUUUCCUUUUGUUCUUGCGAAGAUGAAAAUGAAGUUGAUUUUAUUUACCUUCACGCAAGCAAUUCCAAGACGAGGAAGAGGACUUUCCAUCUGUUUCACCAGCAGCAGUAGCUGCAGUAGUGGCAGUUCCUGGGAAGCUUCGAUGCAUUAUAUCGAUAACAAAUGGUUUUUUGGUUAAAACCAUCUUCCUUUUUGGUAGAUUCAUGUUUAGCCGUUAUUCUGCUUACUAUGGUACUCAUUGUUAGGAUAAAUUUGCUGAUUUAGAGUUUGUUUACGAAGAGCUGAGAAGCUCGUUUUUCCCAUGAUCUAAUUAUCGUCAAACAAGUAGAAACAGCAAAUACUGAAAUUUAUUGCAUAGUUGCAUUCUGAAUCCUGUUAUUGCUGGUCAAACUAAUGCUCAUACUUGAUUUAAGUUUACUAUCCUUUGGUUAAAACCAUAUUCAUUUUAUGGAAAUCUCUUCUAUUUUUUGCUAGUCUGAUGGUAGGAAUGGUACGCAAGAGCAAUUGUUUUCUGAAUUGCUUGAAGAUAUAUAGUCACAAGUGGUUUGUUCUUUUCUUCAUUUCACAUGCCUUUAGGUCACCCCCUUCUGCUACUAAAUUAUGAUUUGGUUUAUGAAAACAACAAUUAGAUGCAUCGAUCUGAACUCCAGUUCUGAAACUCAUCUAUUGUUGUUGGGCUAGUACUUCAAACAGUCCUUGAUCUGCCUGCCGUAGAGCCAUUAUGGAGGAGCAAAACUAUUGUGCCAUGUUUGCAUUCUCUUCUCAUCCUUCCUAUCCAAUAAUCUUUUGUUCUUUUCUUAAGCCGGAGAAAUUUGUGGUUUGCACUGCUUGACUGUUGUAAUUUUCUUUGCCUGCCACAUUUGCUUUGAGGUUACCAUCAUCUCAGAUUGUAUGUUGUAAUGUCUCAUUGUCAAGGUUCUAUGGUGGUAUCUCAUUAAUGGCUUCAUUUGCUGAUCUUCUGUCUUGAUUUGCUUGGACCAGCUUAAUAUCUAUUUCGUUCUAGUCUUACCGACAUUCAUAUUACUGAUAAAUGAAAUCCAUAUGCUAUACUAUUCCUCACGAUUCCUUAACUCUCAGGCAGAAUCACCUUCCCCUUCUCGGCUUAGUCAACUAAUUGCAGUCUGAUGUUUGUGGCAAGAAGACCACCACCAAUAUUAGUAGGCCAAAAGUUUCGAGUCCCUCAAAUAAAUUAUUCAUGUCGAAGAAUUCCCGGCAGAAGGUUGUCAUCGCUGUUUUUUUCAUGGACCCAACAACCAAAAACAAGCAGGAGAAAUAAACAUUUGAGUUUCAAACUGCUUUUUCCUUUCAAUUGCCCACCUAACAAAGGAGCCAUCUGAUUAUCUCAUCGAUAACCGUAUUGUUUUUCAUAGUCCUAUUGCAGUGCUUGUAUGUUUUCAUGGCUUGAAUGUUAGCUUUUGUUAGUGAGAUUAUUUGAUUUUUUUGUCGAGGGGAAUCAUAUGAUUAAUUAGUAAUUAUUUCAUUUGAUUUGAGAGAUAGAUUGAGACAGCUUUCUUUAGCUGUAGACUGAAACAACUUGGUGUUUUGGUGUAUAUACAAAGUAGUAUUGUCAACUUGGAUAGGUUGGUUUAACUUCAGAUAUUAGUUUCGCAGCUUGCUGACUUCACGGAAAACUAGUGCCUGACCAGAAUUGGAAUGCAAUGCUGGUGAUCUGUGCGUUUUAUAUGUUCACUGUAUUUGUGGGAUAUUAUCCGUGCCACUGUCUAUUCCUUUUUCUUUAACCUGGUGAAAGUGAAAUGAUUGUUUCGUGUUGGUUAUCUAUAUGAAGUGAAGCAAACAUGAGUUAUUUUAGGCAUAUUGCAUAUUCAAAAAGCUUGAAGAUAGCUUCAGGUCGGCCCUUCUAUCAUCUGUCCCUACUAUAAUAUUGUUGUAAUUAUACAUAUUCAGUUUGUUGUUUGUUUAUUUUGUGGUGACCUUUUUCCUUCUUCAACUUACGUCGAGAUUCUGAAUAAACAUAUCGCCGAAUAAUGAAUUAUGAAGGGACCAAUGUGUUUUCUCGAGAUAUUUUUGUUGUUUCAGCUAAACUGGUUAGGCAGGACAGAGUACACGUGGACCUUAAGAACUGUGAUUUGACUUAAGUAAACAUUCACUAUUUUAGGGCCUAAAGAACUGUGUUUUCACUGAAGUUAAUAUUCACUAUUUUAUAGAGAUUGUGCCUGUUGCCAGCUGAUGCAUAAAGCAAAAUGCAUUAAUUUAUCUAGCUUAAUUUCCAUGUUCUUGCUCCAUGCACUUAAUAUUGUACAGACUUCAGGUUGGCACAAGGCUUAGGUUAAAGUUUGGGGUCUCUAGUUUCAAGUGGAGAUAAUUGUUGGGAAUCAUGGGUAUAAUUUAACUAAAGUUUUAUGCUGUCGGUAGGGUGCUCCUAUGGAUAAGUUGCUUAUGUUGAUUUUUCAAGUGGCAGGGUACAGCGGUCUUCCUGACUGUUUGAGUGGGGAGUAAGAUUGUUCAGGCAAAUAGUAAGUUAUGUCUUCAGCAAUACUUGAGGAUGAAGGCCUGGUACGAAACAACUAAAUGGAUGAUGUUUGCUUCUGUCCCAUAUUCUGAUUAUUGUUCAAGGAACAAGUGUCCUUUCAUAAAUAUUUGAAUGUUUUCCUUAGUUACAUUUCUGUCUUCCAUAAAAUAUGUUGUGUUUGCAUUGAUAUGUCUACGAGAUGCAUCAUUAGCAAGAGAGAAAUGUCUAUUACUCAACAAAAUUAUGUUUCCAUAUUAACAAAACUUUGUUUCUGUACUAAGCGACACAAUGUUGUGAACUUUUUAUUUAGUGUGAUCUCCUGGGGUAUGAUUAUCACAGGUGGAAAUGGAUGCAUUGCUGCUGUUGGGAAACACCUCUAUCUUUUGAAUUUUUGAUGCCUUGUGAAUUGCAACUAUUGUGUACCUGGCAAAUAACAUUAUUUUUGUAUUCCUGGAAGAAAACCAAAUUAAAUGGAUGUGCUUCCCUGUAGGAAACAGUAUGUUGGAAUAGAUGUAUAAAUGAUUAACUUAUUCUUGGCUAAUGACAGUAUGUAGUGGUCCACCAGCUUAGACUAAUUUUUCUCUUGUAGGCUUGUAGCUCUAGAUUAGAAUAAUGUCACUUAGGCACCUUUACAGGAGGGUUCAUCUCAUAUAUAAAUAUUGUUGGUGUAAAGAAUUAUAGUUGUAAAGAAUAGCACUUCUAUGGUAUAUAUUAUCUGCAAUUAGUUUUAAAUGUUGUGUUGACGCUCUUCCCUAUGUGUGGCAGUGCAUUUUUUCCCAGUUCAUCUGGCAUUGAUCACUGUAGAGUGGUUCAGUUUGAUCUUUGAGGAGAGGAGGUAAUAUAUUACUGUACAUAUGGCUAAUAAUAAUAUUUCUGUUCUGAUUGAGAGAAACAGUAAGUGGCUGGUACUAUGCAACUGCAAGUAGCUAACAGGCUUCAAGCAGGUGGCACAGAUCUUGAUUCCAUUACAAGUACCUGUUGUUCCAAAAGGCAAGUGGCUGGUACUGCAAUCAGUUGUAUUUUUCCGAAGUGUGGUGUGUUUUGCUUGCUUCUAUGAUUGACGAUUGCAAUAUACCACUGUAGAAAUCACAAGUGUGUUGCUGUUGUAUGCAGCAAUGUAAAAUUCAGAAAUUUCUACACGUGUAUUAAUGUUGUAUGUAGCACCCAGGAACUAAGAAAUUUUCCAAAAAAGUGAUGUGUUUUAUGCACUCUCCUAAUAUAAAUCUUCUAAAACAA